rnacentral:rRNA from 1 species
CAGCCGUAAACUAUGCGCGUUAGGUGUAUCGGUGACCACGAGUUACCGAGGUGCCGAAGGGAAACCGUGAAACGUGCCGCCUGGGAAGUACGGUCGCAAGGCUGAAACUUAAAGGAAUUGGCGGGGGAGCACCACAACAGGUGGAGCCUGCGGUUUAAUUGGACUCAACGCCGGGAAGCUCACCGGAUAGGACAGCAGAAUGAUUGCCGGGCUGAAGACCCUGCAUGACUAGCUGAGAGGUGGUGCAUGGCGUGUGACUGU